rnacentral:tRNA from 1 species
AUCAAAAGAGAAAGACUCAAACCCUCAUCCCCGACCCCCAAAGCCGGGAUUUUCAUUAAACUAUCUUCUG